ACUUGCUGAGGCAUGAGAAGUAUGAGCAGACUGCGAGGCUGUAAGAAACUCAGUUGUCCCGGGAUGCUCCAACUCUGAGGCUGAUCCGGGACAAUGGACUGAAUGCCAUCAUGAGCCUCAAUGGACUUACCUGUAAGAAGGGUCACGUGAGAUUCCAACGCUAAUGAGCGUGAAAGGUUUUUGCAAACAGGAACUGCAGCACAAAGGAGAGGCAUGAAUCCUUGAGCGAUUAAGACAGUGGGAGUGACGGGGCAGAGUCACCACGGAGACACACCACUGUGAAAUGAAUGGCGGGACUGCACUGAACGGCAGAAUGUUUGAGGGCUUGGUCAUACAGCUGGAGGGAAGAGUGAGACCAGGAAGAGCUGAAACGCGGCCUCUCCAUCCCUGUUACAGCAGCACCUUUCUCACUGGGCUGCAGGCACCCUGACCGCAAAGGUGUUCUCACAACCCCGCAGGGUCUUGCUCCUCCCUGUGCCGCCAAGCUUGCCACUCCAUCUGCCUGGCACGCUCAUCCCCGCCAUCCCCAUCACUGGCUUCCCAUUGUCCCCUGGGUCUUGUCCUUGAGGAAGCCUCACAAGUCAUCCUGUCUAAGUAGCACUGUUGGUCUUCUCCAUAGAACCUUCUCUUCCUUUCCUGGCAUCUAUAUCAUCCUGGAACCAUUUUAUCUGCGUGUUCACCUGUCCAACCACACUGCGAUGGUUUUAAAAUAUGUUCUUAAUUCUUAGACACUCCUUCCUUCCAAAGGCAGAGUGUCAUUCCUCUCCUUUUGAGUGUGGGCUGGACUUAGUGAUCCCGUUCUGCAGAUGAGAACAUGGCAGAAGAGGUGCUGUUAGGACUUCUGGGCUGGGUCACGAAAGGACAGCUGCUGGCUGGCCUGCUGUCUUUUGGACUGCUCUCCCCAGGGGCAGCCAGAUGCUACAUCGUGAUGACACUCAAGCAGUCCUACCCAGAGGCCCAUGUCAGAAGGAACGAAUGCCUCUCACCCACAGGCAGCACCAACUCGCCAGCCACGGCUACGAGCUGCUUUAGAAGUUGACUCAGCCCAGUCGAGCCUUCAGAUAACUGCAGACCCAGCCAACAUCAGAUGGAACCUACAAGAGAAUAAGUCCUGGUCCCGACCUGCCCAGCCAAGCUGGUCCUGAAUUCCUGACCCACAGAAGCUGCAAGAAUAAUGUCUCCUGCUACUUUAAGCCACUAUGUUUUGGCAUAUUAGGUAGCAAUGGAGGAUUAAUAUAAAUGUUGAAAUGCUAUGAUUCCUCAUUUCAUGGACAAGGAAACUGAGCCACAGAGAAUUUACACGGCUCACCUAAGGCCACACAGAGUCAGAAUUUGGACAGAGGCAGUCUGAUUCCAGAGUCCACACCCCUGAGCCCUGUACUACAACCUCCCUCCAAACAAGGCACCAUCUCAAACAGUGUCAUUUUUCCUGUGAAGCCCCGAUUAGGUGGUGGGCAGGCACAGGAUCUUUCCCUCCCCAGACAGAUGUAAGUCCAACAGCGUGAGGCUUCUGACAGCUUGGUGCUCCACACAGGGCAGGGGUGCAGAGUCCUGCCUGACCACCAGCCAUCCAGCUGUCACGAGCCAGUACCCUUGCUCCUGGGUCUGACUGGAACUUCAGGCGAGUGUCUCAUGCUUAAGAACCUGCCUUUUUCCUUUUAUCCCUAUGUUUUGGGAUGCAAGAAAAUGCCUCUCAGAUGUGGUGUGGUCUCCUGGCACCUCACCUAGGAUGGGAGGCCUGGGAUAGAGAAAGGCUCAGGUUCCUCCUGUCUCACCUGGGCUGGGAAUGAAGGACUGUUC
rnacentral:lncRNA from 1 species